GUGCUCUCUUCAGCAGCACACAUACUAAAGCUGGAACGAUCCAGAGGAGAUUAGCGUGGCCCCUACGCAAGGAUGACACAAAUUCGUGAGGCAUUCCAUAUUAAA